AUCUUUUUCCUGACAUUAUUUCUAUUCCAUAUUACUAAGGUUACUGUUAGUAGAGUGUGGAUUUUUACAGAAUUUUAAAAUUUUAGCAACCCUUCGUAGGCAAUCUGGGUCAUUCACGUCCCAAGCAAAAUUUCAAUCAUAGGGGUGGUAGUGGCCUGUUGCAUGGAUCCUCGAGGUCGCACUGGCUACGAAGGAAUACUUCUAGAAGGCCCAUGAACAACAUGAAGGACGAACCACCACAUGUUGAUGCCAAAGUCGGCCCGGUUGAAGGCGUUAGUGGACAAUUACAGCUCAUCUGCAACGUUCAUUGAUUUUUUAAAGAACCUGAGAUGCGCGCAUCGCUACUUGCAGUAUGAAAGGACACUGUCAACGUGAAUGUGCAUGAUCGUGUGUACACACCUUCAACACCGUUACGUUCACUGACCGAGAACCGCGUCGGUUACGAAAGUCACGCAGUUCUGCAGCUUCUUUUUUUUUGCUAGUUUUCCUGGCUUUUUGCUUCGACACCCUGUCAGACUUACAACGUACAACAGACUAAUUGCAUAGCGACGUUUCUCGAUCGGGACGUACACGUGUCGAAAGCUUGGACGAGUGAGAAUUCAAUAUCCUCGACUGAGAAUGUCUCGUAUUGGAAUGCGUCAAACGCAUCUUCAGCGUAGAAUUACGAGUUGGCUGGAUUUGUCUUAUAUAGAGUUCGGCUUUUUAUGGAUUUCUGGAAAACUUGGAGAUCGAAGAACGCAUGAAAUACACACAAUAUGCAAAAAUAUAUGAAAUAUCCAAAGUAUACAAUUCUUUAUAAUAUUUAAUAGGAAAAACAAUUAUUUGUCGAAUUCCAUUUUUUAAAUGAUAUUCGUACGAAUAUGAGUUUUCAUAAAUAUUUGCAAUCUAACAAUAUGUUUUAAAUGCAGAACACAAAUUGCUAUUAAAAUUAGGUUCACUCGGA